rnacentral:rRNA from 1 species
CCUACGGGUGGCUGCAGUAGGGAAUCUUGCACAAUGGGCGAAAGCCUGAUGCAGCAACGCCGCGUGCGGGAAGAAGGCCUUAGGGUUGUAAACCGCUUUCAGCAGGGAAGAAAAUGACGGUACCUGUAGAAGAAGGUGCGGCCAACUACGUGCCAGCAGCCGCGGUGACACGUAGGCACCAAGCGUUGUCCGGAUUUAUUGGGCGUAAAGAGCUCGUAGGCGGUUCGGUAAGUCGGGUGUGAAAACUCUGGGCUCAACCCAGAGCCGCCACCCGAUACUGCUGUGACUCGAGUGCGGUAGGGGAGCGGGGAAUUCCUGGUGUAGCGGUGAAAUGCGCAGAUAUCAGGAGGAACACCAGUGGCGAAGGCGCCGCUCUGGGCCGUGACUGACGCUGAGGAGCGAAAGCGUGGGUAGCAAACAGGAUUAGAUACCCGAGUAGUC